GCUGGACGGCAUUUUGGGCUGGAGCCACACUCCCUGUCUGUCUGUGUCCCUAGCAGCGGACGGGCGGGGGGCAUGGCUCCAGCCCAGAAUGCUGUGGCACCCCUGGAUGUGCCUGAUGACAUACCAGUUGGGAAAUGGUGUUUUAACAAACUGCUUUCUGUCUUUGCAGUGGUAGAGUGCUGACAGUACCCUCAUCUCCAUGCUUUAACUGAGGCAAAUGAAGGUGUUUUUUGAUGUUUUUAAGCUUUGUGCCUUAUUCGUGCCGCAGGGUUGUUUCAUAGAUUUCAUAGACAUUAGGGAUGGAAGGUACCUCGCGAGAUCAUUGGGUCCAGCCCUCUGCCCCAGGGGCAGGAAAUCAGCUGGGGUCAGAUGACCCCAUCAAGAUAAGCAUCCAAGUGUUUCUUAAAGGUAUCCAGAGUAGGUACUUACAUCACGUCUGGGGGGAGUCUAUUCCAGACUCUGGAGACUUGGACAGUAAAGAAGUUUUUCCUUAUGUUCAGUCUAAAACAGUCUUCCAGCAGUUUGUGACUGUUAGACCUUGUCUUCCCUUGAGGUGCCCUGGUGAGCAAACAUUCUCCCAGUUCCUGAUGCACACCCCUUAUAUACUUAUAGGCUGCCACCAAGUCACCCCAAGCCUUCACUUCUCCAGGUUGAAGAAUCCCAUGCCUCUCAGCCUCUUCUCAUAAGGCCUGCUCUCUUGACCUCUAAUCAUGUGUGUGGCUCUCCUCUGGUCUCUCAAGCUUCUCCACAUUCUUUCUAAAGUGUGGAGCCCAGAAUUGGAUGCAAUACUCCCAUUGGCGAUGUGUAGGGGGUGCACGUGCACCCCCUGAGAGUGGCCAACACCAAUGCUGCUGGUGGUGCCUGUGGGCGGUCACCACUCUCCACGCCCUGCUACUGACACAGCUGAUGGCAUCUGCGGGUGGUUGCCAAUUGCUAGUCAGCGCUUGCCACCCCUAGCCCCUGCUACAACCACCUGUGGGAGCUCCCCGCUCACCCCUGCCAUGCCUCCACUGCCACCACCACCACCACCUCUGGGUGCUCAUUGUGCCCCCCCAACCUUGGGAGGCAUACAACUUUCAUGAGUAUUCUAGCUGUGGCCUCACCAAGGCCGAGUACAGCAGGAGGAUGACUUCUUGGGUCUUGCUUCAGAUGCAUCAAUAGAUGCAAGCCAGAGUUUUAUUUGCUUUGCUGGCUGCAGCAUCACAUUGGUGGCUCACGUUCACUUGUGGUCAAUCAUGACCCCCCAAGUUUCUUUCAGUCAUGGUGCUACUGAAUGCAGCACUGCCAAGCCUAUAAGUAUAAUGUGGGUUUUUUCUCCUGAGGUGAAGCACUUUGCGUUUCUCUGGAUUGAAUGUCAUCAGGUUUUGAUCUGCCCACCUCACAAGCCUGUUCAGUUCAGCCCCAAUCACCAGCCUAUCCUCUAGCAUGACUGUACUUCCGCAUAAUUUGGUGUCAUCUGUGAAUUUAGCCAGCCUGCUUCUGACACCCGAAUCCAGAUCAUUUAUGAAUAUAUUAAAGAGUACUGGACUGAAUACUGAACCCUGGGGUAUGCCACUGGUCACCAUGUGCCAUGUUGACUCAGUUCCAUCGACUAUCACUUUCUGGGUCCGACCAUGGAGCCAGUUCCUCAGCCUCCGGACCGUAAGGUUGUCAAGGCCACAGUUCCCCAAUUUUACCAUGAGGAUAUUAUGGGAGACCAAGUCAAAGGCUUUUUUGACAUCUAAAUAUAUUACAUCAACCUCUUCUCCUUUGUCCAGGUGAUGCAUCACCUGGUCAUAGAAGGAAAUGAGGUUGGUCAGGCAAGACAGACACGCAACAAAGCCAUGUUGGCUAUCUCUCAGAAUGAUGCCUUCUGUUAGCCUGUUGUUAAUGAUUUCUUUGGAUUUUUUUCCAAGAUCUUUCCAGGGAUUGAGGUCAAACAGAUUGGCCUGUAGUUUCCUGGAUCUUCCCUCCUUCGUUUCUUGAAGAUAGGCACCACAUUGUCCCUCCAUCCAAUCUUCAGGAACCUCUCCUGAGCGCCACAAGUUCUCAAAUAUCAUAGAUUCAUAGAUGUUAGGGUCAGAAGGGACCUCAAUAGAUCAUCGAGUCCGAGCCCCUGCAUAGGCAGGAAAGAGUGCUGGGUUUAGAUGACCCCAGCUAGAUGCCUAUCUAACCUCCUCUUGAAGACCCCCAGGGUAGGGGAGAGCACCACCUCCCUUGGGAGCACAUUCCAGACCUUGGCCACUUGAACUGUGAAGAAGUUCUUCCUAAUGUCUAGUCUAAAUCUGCUCUCUGCUAGCUUGUGGCCAUUGUUUCUUGUAACCCCCGGGGGCGCCUUGGUGAAUAAAACCUCACCAAUUCCCUUCUGUGCCCCUGUGAUGAACUUAUAGGCAGCCACAAGGUCGCCUCUCAACCUUCUCUUGCGGAGGCUGAAGAGGUCCAGGUGCCCCAGUCUCUCCUCAUAGGGCUUGGCCUGCAAGCCCUUAACCAUACGUGUGGCCCUUCUCUGGACCCUCUCCAGGUUAUCCACAUCCCUCUUAAAGUGUGGCACCCAAAAUUGCACGCAGUAUUCCAACUGCGGUCUGACCAGCGCCUGAUAGAGGGGAAGUAUCACCUCCUUGGUUCUGUUCGUCAUGCAUCUGCUGAUGCACGAUAAACUGCCAUUAGCUUUCCUGAUGACUUCGUCACACUGACGACUCAUGUUCAGCUUGGAGUCCACUAGGACUCCAAGAUCCUUUUCCGCUUCCGUGCCUCCAAGCAGGUCAUUUCCUAGGCAGUAGGUAUGCUGCACAUUUUUCCUCCCUAGGUGCAACAUUUUGCAUUUCUCCUUAUUAAAUUGCAUUCUGUUGUUUUCCGCCCAUAUGUCCAACCUGUCCGGGUCUGCUUGUAGUUGUUCCCUGCCCUCUGGCGUGUCCACUUCUCCCCACAGUUUUGUGUCACCUGCAAACUUGGACAGAGUACACAUCACUCCCUCGUCCAAGUCGCUGAUGAAGAUAUUGAAGAGUAUCGGUCCAAGGACUGAGCCCUGCGGGAACCCACUGCCCACACCCUUCCAGGUCGAUACCGACCCAUCCACUAUGACUCUCUGGGUGCGACCCUCUAGCCAAUUCGCCACCCACCGGACUGUGUAGUCAUCCAAGUCACAGCCUCUUAACUUGUUCACCAGUAUGGGGUGGGAUACCGUAUCAAAGGCCUUCCUGAAGUCUAAGUAAACAACGUCAAUCCCUACUCCUGCGUCCAGGUGUUUUGUAACCUGGUUGCUAUCCUCAGCAUUGGUUGUGCUAUGACAUCAGCCAACUCUUUUAGCAGUCUUGGGUGUAUUCCAUCCAGGCCACUUAUCUUGCUGGGAUCCUUUGACCCUAGCUGACUUCCUGCUCUUGGGGCAGGGAGCUGGACUCAAUGAUCUUCCAAGGUUCCUUCCAGUCCUAAUGUCUAUGAAAUCUAUUAAUUGUGGAUGUCCAGCCUCUCAAGCUGUUUCCUCACAACAGCUUCACCAAUUAUAGGCAUAUGUUCACCCUUACCCUGGUAAUUCUGCAUCCUGUCAGGCAGAGUGAUUCCCUUGGGCUGAUGGAAAACUGACACAAACUGAUCGUCGAGGAGAUUAGCUUUUUCCAUGGUGUCGAUUGUCAGCUGCCCCAUUUGGUUCAGCAAAAGUCUAAUGUUGCCCUUGGUUUUUUUCCGACUUCCCACAUAUGUGAAGAAAGAUUUUUUUACUGUCCUUGAUUCCUGUAGCCAGUUUGAGUUUGAUUUCAGCCUUGGCUUUUCUGGUGCACUCCCUACAGGUGCAAACAAGUGCUGCAUAAUCCUCCUUAGUGGUAGUUCCCAACGUCCAUACUUUAUAAGCUUUUCUUUUCAGAUUCAGGAGGUCCAUGAGUUCCCCAUUGAACUGAGGGGGUCUCCCAGCCCUUUUGCUACCUCUCCUACGACCUGGAAUGGACUCCCUUUUUGCUUUUAUGGUUGUGUCCUUAAGAAGCGACCACUCAUCAUGGUUUCCCCUCCCUGUCAGAUCAUGGUCUCUCAGGGCCUCGACAACCAACCUCCUGAGCUUGUGAAAGUCAGCUUUCCUAAAGUCGAGGAUUUCUGCAUUGCUGACUGAUUUGCCAGUUUUGCAAUGAAUAAAGUGAUCAACUCGUGAUCACUGUCAUCAAGCUUCCCUUCAAUCCUCAGGUCGCUCACUAAAUCAUCCCCUUUGGCCACUACCAGAUCCAGCAGUGCCUUACCUCUUGUCAGCCUGUAGACUUCUUGAGUCAAAUGGAGCUCAUCAAUGCAAGUGAGGAAGCUUCACGACUGAUCAGAUUUGGCUGAAUGCUCUUCCCAUGAGAGGUCAGGGUGGUUGAAGUUGCCCAUGAUGACCAUGUACCAAGAGCAUGCAACCUCUACCAGUUCCCUAGAGAAUUCAUGGUCAAGCUUUUCCUCCCAGUUAUGUCUGUAAUAGACUCUUACAGUUAUAUCCCCUUCACCCCACUCUCCCCGUAUUCUAACCCAGAGGGUCUCAAGUUGCCCUCCUUGGGUACCAAUCUCUGCUUGUGGGGAAGUGUACUGCUCCUUCACAUAGAGAGCUAUACCCCAACGCUUCUUUGCAACACAAUCCCUCCUGUACAAUUAUAGCCAUCAAUACCUGUGGUCCAGUCAUAAGUGGAGUCCCACCAGGUCUCCGUUAUCCCUAUGAGAUUGUGACGGGCUAGCCGGCAGUGACCUAGCCCAGGGGUUUUGAAAGGGCAAAAGAUGAUUGGAAGACUUGGGAUUCCCUUUCCUCACCAAUCAGGCCCCAGAGAUUCACCUCUCAUGUCCCCUGAUUGGCCCCUGGGUCACCUGGAGGGGGAUAAAAGGGGCAGCACGGCUGACUCAGGGAGAGACCAGCGAGGGAUUAUGAGGAAGGAGCUUCAAAGAGCUGAGCAAGUGGGGCAGAAACAGUUGCCCCAGAAGAGCCUGAAGGAGCAGGACCUGCAGGCAGCAGUUGGACCCUCAGCAGCACAGCAUGUGGCUUGCAGGAGAGGCUUCCUGCUGGGCUCUAGGAUCCCCUAUGAGAGGCUGUGGCCAGUAGGAGAGGCUUCCUUCUGGGCUCUAGGAUCUCCUACAAGAGGCUGUGGCCAGCAGGAGGAUCUGAGCAGCGACCUGAGGGGUUCCCAGCUUGGCUUCCAGCUCCUCCAAUCAGAGACCAGGCAGCUUGACAUGAGGCCAGGGCUCCAGGAAGGUCAAGACCCCUAGCAGCUUAGAGCAGUACCAGCACUGGUGGCUGUGUGGCAGCAUUCCUGCCUAGCAUGUGGGAGAUCUGAGUUCAACUCCUGACUUGGGGUGCAUGAGCUAACAAGGGAAAAAUCCUCUUGCAGUAGGAAGGAGCCAUUGUGUUUUCCACUUUUCUCCCCCUCCAGGUACCUAGGCCCUAUAUUUCUUUGUCCUUUAAUAUUUUGUAUUUUGUGCCUUUUUAUACUUCCCCAACCAGUAUUGUUUACUCUGCUGUUUGUGUUUUGUAUUUUGUUAACCCUGUCUUUUGCCAAUGAUUGUAAGUGUCUAACCUUUGUUGAAUCCUGCCCCCUUGGGGCAUUGUGGUGUCCACUAUACCCCCUGAUUAUGCCUGUUAUGUCCCCAGUAUUGUUCCCUCAUUAAAAGGUAUAUACUUAAGUCCCCAGUGGUGGUCUGGCUCUGCUCUAUAGCGGGAGGAGAGUCCCUACACCUCCCGCAGCGCUUGUGCACCUGCUUUGAUCCCUUCAAUUGGAGAGGGGGUACCUUUUGGAGUACCGCCUGGGUUACAAGAUCAUAUUCAUUUUUGCUUAGCAGAAGGGCCAGUUCCUCCUGUUUGUUCCCCAAGCUCCUGGCAUUUUUUAAUAGGCAGCUAGGCCUGCCAUUGGAAGCCCUGGGCUUCCCCGUGCUCUUAGAAGAGUCCCGUCCUUGGGCUGGGGUAGGAGUGAGUUCCCUUGUGUUACCUGACCUGCUGAUUUUGUGGUUGUCACUUUCUGGGCUUGCACUGGUGAUUGUCUGCAGGUCCCCCGGCAAUCUUAGUUUAAAGCCCUGUCAAGCAGGUUGGCCAUUCUGGCCAAGAAGAGCUUUCCCAUCGGAGUGAAGUGGAGGCCGUCCCUUCCCAACAAACAGCUGUCUCUCUCUCUGAAGUGCAGACUGUGAUCGAAGAAGCCAAAGUCUUCGCAAUGGUACCAACGCCACAGUCUUCUGUUGACUUCUUCAGUACGCCUCUCCCUCCUGUGCCCAUGACCCGUAACCAGAUGGAUCAAGGAGAAAACUACCUGCAUCCCAAACCCUCUAAGCCCAGCCCCCAAAGCCCUGUAGUCACUCAUGACCUGGCCAGGAUUGCUCUGAGUCAUGUCAUUUGUGCCCACAUGGAUAAGGAGCAUUGUAGUAAAAAGACGUUAGCCCCCAUAAUUUUGCAGUAAUGCUUGAGCAACAACCAUAUGAUAGAAGUGUCUUGUGACCAUCUUAUGACCCUUUUGUGUAAAGAUCAGGAGGUCUAAUGUCCAAGCUGUGGUUCUUACUGCUUGCCUUGCAUUUUGAAAUCAUCUCUGUCCAGUGCCUUAAGGUUACGUUAAGAUAAGAAGUUACUAAAGUUUAACUAACUUUGUUGAAAUUGCUCUUUUCUUCUGAGCAUGCUGCAAUUCUACCUUUGAGUGCGCACGUACUAACCCUGAUAAGUCACAUUAACCAAUAACUAGUUAAGUACAGCCUACAAGAUAAGACGUCACAAUUAGGAACUGGUACUGCAGCCAAUAAACUUCUAGUACGUCAAGACUCUGUUGAAUGUAAGCUAUAAAAAUGUGAUUCCAGGCCGGACUCAUCGUCGGCCCUGAUUUGAGCUCUCUGCUCCUCGGUCGAACUGUUUGCAAACAAUAAACCUAGAUGGACCCAGCCUGUAUGUGUGACUCUUUCCUUGAGGGUAAUUGAACAAGCCUCCAGGGGAACAAAACUAGCCGUUUUGGCAACCAUUUGGCGAGCCAGCCAGGAGCCCUCUGGACUACUUCAGGGCACGACGAGAUUGGCAAAGGGGAGUCGUGAAGUGGCCACCGGACUGAUCUUGGAGUCCGUCACGACCCCCGGGUCCGUGAGUCGGGCACCUGAAAGGUCAAAGGCACUCCUUUGAACGAGUCAUCCAGGCUGAGUGGGUCCGAAGAGACGGCGCCAGGGGUCCAGCAGAGUGAGUAUUCGCUUUCCUUGUGUCAAUUGAAUGGUCUCUAAGGGAAUUUGGGGAGCCCUGAGGAUUUAAGUGUUGGUUUUGGUAUCCAGCAUAUUGGUCUGGAUUUUGGAUCCGGGGAAUCCCUUUAGAAAAAUGAGCCGCUGACCAAGUCUGAGACUAUAGCUGAGCCUAGCCGCACCGAUUCUGCCCAACAAGGUAGAGUCGAAUGCAAGGGGGCUCAGCUGGAACCUCGUGACUCAGUGGACAGGGACCUGAGUGCAUUUGUAUAUUGGUAGACACAAUGGGUUCAAGUAGCUCCCAAGAAGAAGAUUCUGCUUCCCCAUUAGGAUGCAUGCUGAGGAAUUUUGGUAAAUUUAAGGGAGACUAUGGAAUAGAAAUGACACAGGAUGACUUGAUUAUAUUUUGUCAGAAGGAAUGGCCCACUUUCGGGGUUGGAUGGCCGGAAGUUGGUUCUUACAAUGUAAAAUUAGCUAAUGCAGUUUCAAAUGUGAUAACCCGGGACGGCCACUGGGAUCAGUGGCCGUAUAUAGAUUGUUGGAUAAGUGCUAUAAUGAAUCCUGUUCCCCCAUGGGUUCAGAAGUGUAAAAAGAAAAUGUGUAAGAUGUUAUUGGCAAAAGACACUGGGAGAACAGCCCAAGUCCUUCCUGAUUCUGGUAGUGAGGGAGAUCUGAUUCAGGGACCAGGACACAGAGUUAGAACACAGUCACCUGUCAGCCCCAGUUCCAGGAGUCAGGAGUCACCAUCAUCAUCUCAGACGGACUCUAGCCCCAGCUCCAGGAGCCAGGAAUCAUCACCAUCAUCCUCAUCAUUCCAAGAGGAUCCUGACUUGUUGGGCAGGGAGAGGUCAGAAAGUCCCUCAGUAGUACCCCUAACUGGCCUCGGGGUUUCAGGAGAAAAGAAGGGAAAAGACCCAGAGAAUCUCCCACCAACAGCUCCCCCUUAUGAGGAAAUGGACAGCUUCCCAGAGGGGCUGGCUCAGCUCAAAUCAGCGUUAAAGCUCGUGGAAUCCUGGCAUGAUAAAAUCCCCCGGAGUUCCCGUAACAAGAACCCCAAUUACAAUUGUCCCAUGAGACAAGUAGUGACUCCAGGAGAAGGGGGGGGAACAACCUUCGUUUACGUACCCUUUCACACGUCAGAUUUGUUUAAUUGGAAGAAUCAAAAUCCUUCUUUUAGAGAAGACCCCGAUAAGAUGCAAAAUCUGUUUCGGUCAGUAGGGCAAACCCACCGUCCUACCUGGGCUGAUGUUCAAAUGAUGCUGCAUACCCUCCUGACCUCUGAGGAAAGGCGGAUGGUACAGGGAGUAGCGGAUAAGAUAGCUGAGGAGCGGGUAGUAGCCCCUGGAGGGGACCUGUGUGCUGUAUGUCCUAUUGAGAGUCCCAAUUGGGAUAACGACUCAGAGGAAGGGAAUCGUCAAUAUCUGGGGAUUAUAGUAGAAGCUCUGGGUAAGGCAGUACCACGGGUACCAAACCUUUCCAGGAUAUGCGAGGUCCGCCAAGGAAAGGAUGAAUCUCCCUCAGCCUUCCUCGAGCGGUUGUAUGAUGCCUUUAAGAAAUUUAGUGAAAUAAACCCUGAGGCUUCAGAAAAUCACCGCAUGGUGAAUAUGCUGUUUAUUGGGCAGGCGGCCCCAGGUAUAAGGAAGAAGUUGCAAAAAGUUGAAGGAGGACCAGGGAAACCCCUUUCAGAGCUAGUGGAAAUUGUGUAUAAAGUCUAUGGGAACCAGGAUCAAAUAGCAGAAAAGAAGGAGGAGAAGCAUGGACAGAAGCAAAUGGCCAUGCUAGCAGCUGCCUUAAGCAAGAGUACUAAUGGCAAUGGAGGAUGGAAAGGGCAACCAGAGGGGGGGCAGAAGAAAGGAAGAGGUCGGCCGCAGCCGCUACUAUUUGUGCUGCUGUAAACACAUGCCCCUGCUCAUGUGGACAUGGGCAACAAGUCAGAAUAUGUUUAACACUAUGGAUUUCCUAUUUGAAAUCUCUGGGUUUAUUCUGUAAAUCAUGUUUGCACGCCUAAUUGUGCUAACAUUUUGUAGCACCCCACAGCACACUUGAAAGGAUCUCAAGCCACCCCAGCAUGCUGCAGCACACUAGCUGAGAAUCAACAGGUUAGAUAAACACUGCUCUAGCAUGGUUUACAUAGGAAUGAUCAUGCCUUGAGACUAGGGGACCUCCUGAGAUCCCUUCCAACUCUAUUUUUCUAAGACUCUGCAUGGAAAUGUUUGUUGUUGUUAUUGUUUGUUUAACAGAGAAUUGAAGGAAAGGCUAGUGGCUUGAUGAGUAAUGAUGAAGAAGACAUUCCAUUGUUAGUAGACAACAGGAGAAGGAAUAUACACACUUCUCCAUUCUCUGAGGCCACAAAGACACUUGAUAAAAACUGCUGAGGUCCUAGACACAUGAACAGUCCCGACAGACACCAGAAGGGGAAUUCCUGCCAUUAGAUCAAUGUGAGCUGGAUGUUGGAUUUGGAACUGGAGCUG